UUUUGUUUUAUUUUCAAUAAAAAAAGGAUUUUAUUAUUAACAUCGAUGGAAGCUUACUAACCUUGGAUUUUUAUGAAAAUUGGCUUAGCAUCCCAGAUGGAACUCUGGCUGGAAAAAUUAAUGGCAUUCAAAGCUUUUGCAACAGAUGCCAGAACCAAACUUUAUACUAUUAAAACAUCUCAUAUGUGUAUUAGUAAUAAUAAAAAAUUCUUCCAUGAAUAAUUUAGACAGUUACAGGUUAUCUCUGCGCAUAGCUCCACAUGUACUGUGGGGUCAGACUUCGAGAGAUUCAUUAUUUGGGAGUGACGUCUUAAGAAAGGUAAGAGGAUCUGAAAUUUGCCUUUGGGAACAAAAGUCUAAUUAUUAUUCAGUAAUUGGGAAUACUUUACAAAGAUGAUUUCUCUAACAGGAAACCCUAGGAUUGUAUGCUUAUGGAGUGGAGUAGAAUAUGUAUUGAUCUAUUUCAGGAAGAUUUGGGAAGGGAGAUUUUAAUGUAGUUUAAAGUAAGUUAAUCAUUUCUUUCUACUGUUCUUUCCUUCUUUCUUCUUAGAUAUUGAUUUAGAUAUUGAUGUUUUACCCAACAAUAAUCUGUACAUAUAAUGGUAAUCCAAGAAGACUAGAGUGAAAUUUUAAAAGAUCUGGAUUACCUAGGUUUUGUUUGUUUUUUCCAUUGUAGCCCUAUUUUUGGAGUAUAGAAUAGUUGUGUUUCAGUGUGGUGAGACCAUGAUAUUACUAAAUAUUCACAUCAUGUGAAUUGCUGGUCAUAUUAAAGCACAUUGCAUAUAUAUAUAUGUGUGUGUGUGUGCAUAAAUAUAUAUGUGUGUGUGUAUGAAUGUGUGUUUGCAUGUGUACAUAUACGUGUAAGUGUACUUGUAAAUGUAUUUCUAUAUGUAUAUGUAUAUACAUAUGUAAUGAUGAAUAAUUGGUGUAUAUUAUUUUGUAUGCUUUCCAUUAUUUUAGCACUAACCUAUUUCAGGUACAGUUUUAUGAUCCUCAAGUAUACUGUAGCUGUUAAUUUUAUUAUAAACACAUAUACAUCAAUAUUCUUCACUCAUUUAUUUACUUUAUAUCCUGAUUGCAGUCCCUUCCUCCAAGUCCCAUCUUUACAACCUGUUUUUCCCUCCAUUAUUCUUUACCUCAAUAGUGUAGACCUACCAUUGACACCAACCCACUCUCACACAUCAGUUCACAACAGGAAUAAGUGAAUCACCUUCCACUGAAGCCAUACAAAGCAGCCCAGAUAAAAGAAAGCAAUCCAGUUGUAGACUACAGAGUCAGAGCCAGUCUGCAUACUGGCUAGGGGACAUAUUUGUGUGUGCGUGAGUGUGUGUAUGAGUGUGAGUUUGCAUGUGUACAUACAACUGGUAGGGGACAUACCUGAAGAUCAAGCUGCAUAUCUGCUACAUAUAUAUAGGGGCCCUAGAUCCUGCUGCUGGAGCAUAUGAUGGGGGAGAUCCUGCAGAUUCAAAGCUGCAGGAUCACAAUGAUUAAAGGCUACAGCAAGAUACCAGGAUAUAGAGGGAGAGGCAUCUCCAGGACGUUCCAGUAUUGAGAGUAUAGUAAAAUACAGAGAGCUUAAACCAGACUUACUUCACUAUACAUUUGCAAGAAAAUCUGUUUGGACAAGAGGGUAUAAUGUGUGACCACUUAUGGCACAACACAUCUCACACACUGUAUUUUUAAUUUUUUUUAAAUUUAGUUUAAUUUUUUUAAAUUAAAUUUAAAUUUUUAUUUAAUUUUAACUUUUGAAAUUUAGUGAGGGGGGAUUGUUUCCAAGGGAUAUAUGGAAGGAUUGAAAAAUGAAGUGAGAGUUACUUGGUAGCAUGAUUAGAAAUUUCAGAGAAUUAAUAAAGGACACA